rnacentral:rRNA from 1 species
AGAGUUUGAUCAUGGCUCAGAGCGAACGCUGGCGGCAGGCUUAACACAUGCAAGUCGAGCGGGCGUAGCAAUACGUCAGCGGCAGACGGGUGAGUAACGCGUGGGAACAUACCUUUUGGUUCGGAACAACACAGGGAAACUUGUGCUAAUACCGGAUAAGCCCUUACGGGGAAAGAUUUAUCGCCGAAAGAUUGGCCCGCGUCUGAUUAGCUAGUUGGUGAGGUAACGGCUCACCAAGGCGACGAUCAGUAGCUGGUCUGAGAGGAUGAUCAGCCACAUUGGGACUGAGACACGGCCCAAACUCCUACGGGAGGCAGCAGUGGGGAAUAUUGGACAAUGGGCGCAAGCCUGAUCCAGCCAUGCCGCGUGAGUGAUGAAGGCCCUAGGGUUGUAAAGCUCUUUUGUGCGGGAAGAUAAUGACGGUACCGCAAGAAUAAGCCCCGGCUAACUUCGUGCCAGCCGCCGCGGUAA